GGCGGGGAGCCCGGACCUGACCCUUCGGGAGGGAAUGCUGGCUCGGUGCUGAGUGACUUUGGGGACAGCGAAGAAGCCCCAACAUGGAGGACUUUUCUACCCGGACCUACGGCACCAGCGGUCUGGACAACCGACCGCUGUUCGGAGAGACGUCGGCCAGGGAUCGAAUCAUCAAUUUAGUUGUUGGCAUCUUAACAUCCUUAUUGAUUCUAGUAACGCUGAUCAGUGCUUUUGUUUUCCCUCAACCACCUCCAAAACCAUUGAAUAUAUUUUUUGCUGUCUGCAUCUCUUUGAGUAGUAUUACUGCCUGCAUACUUGUGCCACUCAGGGGCAGCACUGAGACUGCUGAUCUGCCUCCAAUUUUAACUAAAUCCUGCACCACGCCGGCCUCUCCCUGCCCUGAGCACCUCACUGCCCGAAGCCCUGUGGGGCUGUGGAGUGGAGAAGCUUUUGGUGCUGCCUGUGGGUAAAGGUGGGUGGACAGACAGUGUCUUUGGUUGGUUGAUUGUUGUAAUCAAUAAACAAGAAAUAGAAGGAGGAAAUUUCGGGUUCUUCUAUAUCACUCAGUUCCUAUUACCAAAAUUGUUUUCCAUCUUUUUCAGGCCAAGCAAAGAGGACCAGCAACUGGUGGAAUGUAAAAGUCAAUAAAAAGUGGCACAUCCACAACCCCCAUUCUCUUGUAGCAGCUUUCUAGCAAUCCUUAUGAGCAUAGCUGCACUACAAACACCACGUGACAGUAAGCCUCUAAGCUACUUAUCAGACCAAAGUAAGUAGAUCUUUGAAAAUGCUUGAUUUCCUAGUACCAUAAGCAGUAACUGUACUGUAUUGUUUUUUAAAUGCCACCACUAUCCAUUUGCUCAAAAAUUAACAGGACAAUACCUACUACAUUUCAGAAAAAUGAUCGAUUAUUGAAAAAUGGUGGUUUCAUGAGCUCAUUCAGUCAUUUAGUGCCAAAUUUAAUUUAAUGAGGAAAGUUCAAGUUUAAUUCAAUUAGAAAUAAGCCAGUCAGAAAAGAUUAAGAAUCGUAAGAUUUCACUCACAGGUAGGAUAUAAAAGUGAACCUCAUAGACAUAGACAACAGUAUGAUGGUUACCAGAGGGAAAGGGUUGGGGGUUGAGUAAAGGGAGAAAAGGGCCAAAUAUAUGGUGAUGAAGAACAAUCUGACUGUGGGUGGUGGGCACACA